UACGAAGGGGGCUAGCGUUGCUCGGAAUCACUGGGCGUAAAGGGUGCGUAGGCGGGUCUUUAAGUCAGGGGUGAAAUCCUGGAGCUCAACUCCAGAACUGCCUUUGAUACUGAAGAUCUUGAGUCCGGGAGAGGUGAGUGGAACUGCGAGUGUAGAGGUGAAAUUCGUAGAUAUUCGGAGGAACACCAGAAGCGAAGGCGGCUCACUGGCCCGAUACUGACGCUGAGGCGCGAAAGCGUGGGGAGCAAACAGG
rnacentral:rRNA from 1 species